rnacentral:rRNA from 1 species
UAACUCACUUCCACCAACGCCAGGAUAUUACGAGCUUUAGCUUAAAACCCAAAGGACUUGACGGUGUCCCAUCCAUCUAGAGGAGCCUGUUCCAUCAUCGAUAAUCCCCGCUACACCUAACCACCCCUUGCCAAUCAGUCUGUAUACCUCCGUCGUAAACUUACCAUGUGAGUGCUCACAGUAAGUUUAAUGGCCACCAUCACCAAUACGUCAGGUCAAGGUGCAGCUCAUGGGGCGGCAGGCAAUGGGCUACAAUUUCUACACUAGAACAAACGAAACGCUGCAUGAAAUACAGCCACGAAGGCGGAUUUAGUAGUAAAAAGAAAAUAGCGUGUUCUUUUUAACUAGGCCCUGGGACGUGU